rnacentral:misc_RNA from 1 species
GUGAAUCAUCGAAUCUUUGAACGCACAUUGCGCCCGCCAGCAAUCUGGCGGGCAUGCCUGUUCGAGCGUCAUUUCAACCCUCAAGCCCCCGGUGGGUUUGGUGUUGGGGAACGGCCUCCCGUCUCCGGGCGGCCGGCCCCGAAAUCCAGUGGCGGUCUUACCGCGGCUUCCUCUGCGUAGUAGCACACCUCGCACUGGGACGCGGCGCGGCCACGCCGUAAAACGGGACGGGCGAGUCACAUCGCCCGCGCCCCCCUCCUCAAGGUUGACCUCGGAUCAGGUAGGAAUACCCGCUGAACUUAAGCAUAUCAAUAAGCGGAGGA